rnacentral:tmRNA from 1 species
GGGGGCGAACGGUCUCGACUGGGCAGGCAGAAGCGAGGCUGCGCGUCGAGGUGGCUCGGGUCCUCGUUAAACUCCUGGGCGGCGCACAAACGCCAACACCACUCAGUACGCCUACGCGGCCUAAGUAGCCGCGUACGUCCACCCGGAUGGGCCGGCAGUCCGGGCCGGGCGCCAAUCGCCGGCUACCGUCACCGUCCUGGCCCGGGGCGGGCGGCGGGAAACUCAAUGGGCUGGUGGCCGGGUGAUCCUGCUCUGGGGAGCGCCCGGACGCGAGACCCAAUCUCAGAGCUACACGCGUAGACGCCUGGCCCUCGCUGCUCCAGGACGCGGGUUCGAUUCCCGCCGCCUCCACCA